UACGGAGGGUGCAAACGUUGCUCGGAAUCAUUGGGCGUAAAGCGCACGUAGGCGGUCCAGUAAGUCGGGUGUGAAAGCCCUCGGCUUAACCGAGGAAGUGCAUUCGAAACUACUGGACUUGAGUACUGAAGAGGAUCGCGGAAUUCCCGGUGUAGAGGUGAAAUUCGUAGAUAUCUGGAGGAACACCGAUGGCGAAGGCAGCCUUCUGGGCCAACACUGACGCUCAUGCACGAAAGCGUGGGGAGCAAACAGG
rnacentral:rRNA from 1 species